AUGACAACAAACAGGUGAUAAUCCAGCUUUUGUUUAAAAACCUCAGGUGAAGGAAAACCCAGUAUCUAAGUGUUCUGGAUUUAGUCAGAGAAUAUGAGUGCAAAUUCUGGUACUCUCACUUAGUAGCUGUAUGACUUUAAGACAAAUCAAAUAACCCCUGUAGAUUUCCAUUUUCUCACUUGUAUGAUGAACGGGUUGGACUAGAUCCUCUUUAAGGUCUCUUCCAGCUGGAAAUCUGUGAUCCUGUGAACCUCCAAAUACAAAGCUACAUUUAGACAACUCUAGAAUUUAGGAAAGUUAUCCCUUUGUCAAACUAACUUCUGCUUUUUUGCCAUUUUCAUGAUUUCAUUCCUAGUUCUUCUCUCUGAGUCUAUCCAGAACAAAUCAAAUCCCUCUUAUACCCCAGUCUUUUCAGAUAUCUGAAGUUUGCUCUCAUGUGCAACGCCUCCCCUCUUCCCAUUGAAUCUUCUCCAAGUUAAACCUCCCCUAAUUCCUUUAGCCAAUUUUCAGAUGACUUGAUCAGCAUAUUCAUUCAUCACUCCUACAUCUUCAUCAUCAUCAUCAUCAUCAUUUAUGAAACACUUGAAGGUUGGCAAAGUACUUUCCAUACAUUCCUCUUCUUUGAGUCUCUGAGAGCUGAAAGAAAUGAUGAACUGGAGGAUUUCUAUGUGAAUUGGAAAGACCCCCAGGAAUUGAUUCAGAGCAGAAAUUGA
rnacentral:lncRNA from 1 species